GGUGCACUGCUACUUACUAUGUGCCAGGCAUGCUGUCGGGUGUUAGCAUGCCCUAUUUGGCAGAACGGAUGAACUCCUGUUCUCAUGAAGCUUCCAGAUUACUCUGGCUGUUGUGUGAAGAACAGAUUGAAAUCUGGCAAGAACAGAAAAUAAAGACCUGUUAGACUAUUUCUAGUCCUGGAGAAAGAUAAUGGUGGCUUGGCCUGGAAAGGUGGCAACAAUAAUGGAAAGAAUAUUAAGAUGAAAGUCCAAGAAGGCAAAGAGCUUGUGGGAUUGUUCAUUGCUGUCGAGCCAAUGCCUCUCAAGAUGCUCUGCACACAGAAGCCUGCCAACGAAUAUUCUUUUUUGCAUGAACAAAAAAACUCUUGUAGAGCUCAAGAUUGAGAAGAAAAUAUAGAUACUGAGCAGAUAAUCAUGUUAUGACUACUACAGCAAGCAUGGUGUUGCUAUAACCCGAGGAAACUGAUUUUAGUGGGAAGCAAGACAAUCCAGGUCUCCCUGAUCUGAAAACUGAUCAGGAGUUGGCCAAAUGAUGAAAGAGAGGAGUGUUCCAGGCAGAGGAAAUAAAAGUGUGAAGGCUUCAGGAUAAGAGUAUGGAGUAUUUUGGGGGAAAUCAAAGACCAGUAUGGCUGGAGCAUGAGAGGUAAAGGUGGGCCCAUGGGAUGUGUGGUAAGCCUCAGGAUUGUUAGCUUCAUCCUAAGAGAAAGGGAAAACUUUAGGUAGUAGAGGUGAUGAAGUUUGCAUUUUUAAAGACCACUAUAGAUUUGAGGAGAGUGGACUGCAGGCGAGGUACUUGGAAAAGUAGGCCAGGGUAGAGAAGAUCGAAGGAGACUGGCUAGGUAAAUGUAAGAACACAGACUAGAGAAGAUAGAGGCAUGGCUAGAGGAAAUGGUGAGUUUGGAGAAUUGUGGUAGAUUCACAACAGAGGCUAGAACAGUUAAGUUCUGAUGAGUCACUGGGCUUGUCAUAAAGGAGCAGGAGAGCCAGAAUGACUUCCAGGGUUUGAUUUAGACUAGUGGGUAGACAGUGGCACUGUUUAUUGAGAUAAGAGAAAACUGGGGAAGGAGCCAGUUGUUGGUGGGAAGAUAACAGAUUCAGUUAUGGACAAAGUUUGACGCACCUGUGAGAUAUACAAGCCAGCAGUUGAAUAGAUGACAGUGUGAUGAUCAACAGAAUUGUGUGUACAAAUGAAGCUCUCUUUCUAGGGAAUGAGUGGAGUAAAAGGCUUGGGAUGGAGUCCUGAGGUACUUUCACCAUUUAAGGGUCAGAUCGAGAAGAAGCCAGCAAAAGUGACCAAGGAGUAACUUAGGAGGUGAGAGUAACACUGGAACACGUGGGGCUAUGGAAUGUCUUGAUGAAAUGGUCUCAGACAAGAGUCUUGGUAUAGUAGCAGUUAGAUUUUAAGUAGAGCCACUCAGCACUUAAAUUCUGAUAAUCCUUCCCUUUUAUUAGGAAAUUGUGUACAGUAGUCCCCCCAUUCACAGGGGAUAUGUUCCAAGACACCCAGUGUAUGCCUGAAACUGUGGAUAGUACUGAACCCUGUAUAUAGUAUAUUAUAUCAAUGAUAAAGUUUAAUUUAGAAAUUAGGCACAGAGAUUAAUGACUGUAAUUAAUAAUAAAAAACA